UGAGUUUGAUCAUGGCUCANNUUGAACGCUGGCGGCAGGCCUAACACAUGCAAGUCGAGCGGUAACAGGACUAGCUUGCUAGUUGCUGACGAGCGGCGGACGGGUGCGUAACACGUAGGAAUCUGCCCGGUAGUGGGGGAUAGCCCGGAGAAAUCCGGAUUAAUACCGCAUACGCCUUACGAGGGAAAGAAGGGGCCUCUUCGGAGCCUUUCGCUAUCGGAUGAGCCUGCGUCGGAUUAGCUAGUUGGUGGGGUAAAGGCCUACCAAGGCGACGAUCCGUAGCUGGUCUGAGAGGAUGAUCAGCCACACUGGGACUGAGACACGGCCCAGACUCCUACGGGAGGCAGCAGUGGGGAAUAUUGCACAAUGGGGGAAACCCUGAUGCAGCCAUGCCGCGUGUGUGAAGAAGGCUCUAGGGUUGUAAAGCACUUUCAGCGAGGAGGAAAGGUUGCUGNUUAAUACCCAGCGGCUGUGACGUUACUCGCAGAAGAAGCACCGGCUAACUCCGUGCCAGCAGCCNNGGUAAUACGGAGGGUGCGAGCGUUAAUCGGAAUUACUGGGCGUAAAGCGUGCGUAGGCGGUCAUGUAAGUUGGAUGUGAAAGCCCCGGGCUC
rnacentral:rRNA from 1 species